GAUGAACGCUAGCUACAGGCUUAACACAUGCAAGUCGAGGGACCGGCGCACGGGUGAGUAACACGUAUCCAACCUGCCCUUUACUCGGGGAUAGCCUUUCGAAAGACAGAUUAAUACCCGAUAUAAAGGAUGGGGAUGCGUUCCAUUAGGUUGUUGGUGAGGUAACGGCCCACCAAGCCUUCGAUGGUUAGGGGUUCUGAGAGGAAGGGCCCCAACGUUGGAACUGUGACACGGACGAAAAUCAGACGGGAGGCAGCAGUAAGGAAUAUUGGUCAAGGGGCGUUAGCCUGAACCAGCCAAGUAGCGUGAAGGAAAAAGGCUUAUGGGGCGUAAACUACUUUUAUAUAAGAAUAUGUAUUAUAUGAAUAAGGAACGGCUAACUCCGUGCCAGCAGCCGCGGUAAUUC
rnacentral:rRNA from 1 species